UGGGGAUAUUGCUCAAUGGGCGAAAGCCUGAUGCAGCGACGCCGCGUGGGGGAUGAAGGCUUUCGGGUUGUAAACCUCUUUCGCUAUCGAACAAGGCCCGCUUAGGGUGGGUUGAGGGUAGGUGGAGAAGAAGCGCCGGCUAACUACGUGCCAGCAGCCGCGGUAAUACGUAGGGCGCGAGCGUUGUCCGGAAUUAUUGGGCGUAAAGGGCUUGUAGGCGGCUUGUUGCGCCUGCUGUGAAAACGCGGGGCUUAACUUCGCGCGUGCAGUGGGUACGGGCAGGCUUGAGUGUGGUAGGGGUGACUGGAAUUCCAGGUGUAGCGGUGGAAUGCGCAGAUAUCUGGAGGAACACCGAUGGCGAAGGCAGGUCACUGGGCCAUUACUGACGCUGAGGAGCGAAAGCAUGGGUAGCGAACAGG
rnacentral:rRNA from 1 species